rnacentral:lncRNA from 1 species
AACCAGGGGCACUGAACCCCUGAGCCCCAUCCCCAGCCCUAUUCUGUAUUUUAUUUAGAGACAGGGCCUCACUGAGCUGCUUAGUGCCUCACCGUUGCUGAGGCUGGCUUUGAACUCGCCAUCCUCCUGCCUCAGCCUCCCUAGCCGCUGGGAUAAUAGGCGUGCUCCACCGCUCCUGGCUAGUGGUCCUUUUUUUUUUAAAAAAAUAUUUUAGUUGUAGAUGGAUACAAUACCUUUAUUUUGUUUAUUUGGUUUUUUAUGUGGUGCUGGGGAUCGAACCCAGGGCCUCAUGCAAGCUAGGCAAGCACUCUACCACCGAGCCCAGCCCUAGCCCUAGUUCUACUUUUUUAUAGAGACCCUUCUUUUUUUCCUCUCUCAUUUUUUUUUUUUUUUAGCAAUGGGGAUGGAACCCAGGGGUUCUCUGCCACUGAACUACACCUCUAGCCCUUUAAUUUUUUAUUUUGAGACAGGGUCUUGCUAACUUGCUUAGGGCCUCACUAAGUUGCUGAUGCUGACCUUGAAUUUGCAGUCCUCCUGCCCCAGGAGUCCUGGGAUUACAGUCCCAGGCAUGGCAACAGCGUCCAGGUUCUCCUUCUAGGAAAUGCCUGCAGUGUGUCUUGAUGCUUGUUUAUGCCCCCUGAGUCUGUGGAGUGGGAGGCAGGACUUGGAGGUGUCUGUGGCUCCAUAGCCCCUCAGCGCCCCAGCUGUGGUGAAGACUGAGAGGGCAGCAGCCAUGCUCCCUGAUGGUGGGGACACAGGUCCUGUGCUCCCUGAUGGUGGGGACGCAGGUUCCAUGACCAGACUGCACAUGAGGCCCUCAUGGGGCCGUGGGCUGUGGAAGUCCUGCACAGAGCCUCCUGUAUCCUGGAAGUGCCUUUUUUCCUUAUGUUUUGCAGUGCUGGGGAUGGAGCCCUGGGCCUCGGGCAUAUCACGCCAGUGCUGGGCCCCUCCUGUGAGACCUCUGCUACCUGAUACAGCAUGCAAGCCACCUAGGUAGCUGACGUACU